rnacentral:rRNA from 1 species
CCUACGGGAGGCAGCAGUGGGGAAUUUUGGACAAUGGGCGCAAGCCUGAUCCAGCAAUGCCGCGUGAGUGAAGAAGGCCUUCGGGUUGUAAAGCUCUUUUGUCAGGGAAGAAACGGUUCGGGCUAAUAACUUGAGCUAAUGACGGUACCUGAAGAAUAAGCACCGGCUAACUACGUGCCAGCAGCCGCGGUAAUACGUAGGGUGCAAGCGUUAAUCGGAAUUACUGGGCGUAAAGCGUGCGCAGGCGGUUUUGUAAGUCUGUCGUGAAAGCCCCGGGCUCAACCUGGGAAUUGCGAUGGAGACUGCAAGGCUUGAAUCUGGCAGAGGGGGGUAGAAUUCCACGUGUAGCAGUGAAAUGCGUAGAGAUGUGGAGGAACACCGAUGGCGAAGGCAGCCCCCUGGGUCAAGAUUGACGCUCAUGCACGAAAGCGUGGGGAGCAAACAGGAUUAGAUACCCUGGUAGUCCACGCCCUAAACGAUGUCUACUAGUUGUCGGGUUUUAAUUAACUUGGUAACGCAGCUAACGCGUGAAGUAGACCGCCUGGGGAGUACGGUCGCAAGAUUAAAACUCAAAAUGAAAUUGACGG